UCCAUUGUAGCUUCGUGGUUGAGUGGGACACUUGCCUCUCACUCUGGAGUCCCGGGUUCGAUCCCCGGUCGAGGAGCUAGGAU